AUGAUCCCGAACCAAAACUGGACUUCCGCCCAUUUCCCCCCUCUCACUCACCGUGAACAGACCAGCACGGCCGCGCCCAAGUCCUCCCGUAGAAAUAGUUCGGUUCUUGGGUGUUCUAACCAACACCAAAGUCUCUUCACUUUACCAAGGGAUCAACAAGUGAGGAUUUGUGGGUCACUUUUAUUUUUAACGGACCGGUGCCAGAAACACUGCCUCAGCAUUUAUACGUACGUGCAUUUCAAACGAGGGUGCGUACAAUGCUGGAUUUGUUUCACGGCUCCUGUUGGAAAAAAAGGACCUAUUCCUAAAGUCCGUCAUCCACUCACUGAAGAGGGCAAAUCCCAGUUGCCCACAUGCAAGGAGGCUGUCAAACAGAGAAAUCACUGCAGACUGUUGGUACACAGACAUCUGCUGCCCAGCUCAGGAGUAAAGUACCUUUUGUUUUGAUGAGGUGAUGGUGAGGACAGCCACAGCUUCCAUCUGGUAGAGGACUGCUUCCGCUCAGUCUUCCAAAUAGUGAUGAGAACAAGGAUCACCACAUCUCCCUGUUUACCCUACUUUCAUGCAUUUCGUCUGCAAGGCCCUGCAAAAGCUUCUCCUUCGUCCUCAAACCCCCAGACUUCUUAAUUAACUCAGUAACCUAUACAUUGCACAUUGGAGUGUGAAGGUAACAGUUUGUUCUAGCUUUGGAGUAGUGGUGUAUUUUUUUGGUUUACAAUAAAGUUGGCUUUAACUAUUAUGUAUUUCA
ensembl:lncRNA